rnacentral:misc_RNA from 1 species
GCAAACUUGGUCAUUUAGAGGAAGUAAAAGUCGUAACAAGGUUUCCGUAGGUGAACCUGCGGAAGGAUCAUUAAAGAGUUAGGGUCUCUCUAGGCCCGAUCUCCCAACCCUUUGUUUACUAAACCGUUUUGUUGCUUCGGCGAGCCCGUCUUCACGGACCGCCGGGGGACCCGUCUCAGGUCUCCUGGCCCGUGCUCGUCGAUGGCCCAAACCUUUAAAUUCUUAACUAAACGUGUCUUGACUAAGUACCAAUGUUAAUUAAAAGCAAAACUUUCAACAACGGAUCUCUUGGUUCUGGCAUCGAUGAAGAACGCAGC